GCGAGGGUGGCGGAAUGGCAGACGCGCUGGACUUAGGAUCCAGUGAGGAAACUCAUGCGGGUUCAAGUCCCGCCCUUCGCACCA
rnacentral:tRNA from 5 species